rnacentral:rRNA from 1 species
CCUACGGGCGGCAGCAGUGGGGAAUAUUGCGCAAUGGGCGCAAGCCUGACCCAGCGACGCCGCGUGAAGGAAGAAGGCUUUCGGGUUGUACACUUCUUUUGACAGGGAAGAGUAGAAGACGGUACCUGUCGAAUAAGCCACGGCUAAUUACGUGCAAGAAGCCGCGGGAAUACGUAGGUGGCAAGCGUUGUCCGGAUUUACUGGGUGUAAAGGGCGUGUAGCCGGGUUGACAAGUCAGAUGUGAAAUCCUGCGGCUUAACCGCAGAACUGCAUUUGAAACUGUUGAGCUUGAGUCCGGGAGAGGCAGACGGAAGUCCUGGUGUAGCGGUGAAAUGCGUAGAUAUUAGGAGGAACACCAGUGGCGAAGGCGGUCUGCUGGACAGCGACUGACGGUGAGGCGCGAAAGCGUGGGGAGCAAACAGGAUUAGAUACCCGAGUAGUC